rnacentral:rRNA from 1 species
UACGUAGGGGGCAAGCGUUGUCCGGAAUUAUUGGGCGUAAAGAGCUCGUAGGCGGUUUGUUGCGUCGGCUGUGAAAUCCCGAGGCUCAACCUCGGGUCUGCAGUCGAUACGAGCAAACUAGAGUGUUGCAGGGGAGACUGGAAUUCCUGGUGUAGCGGUGAAAUGCGCAGAUAUCAGGAGGAACACCGGUGGCGAAGGCGGGUCUCUGGGCAACAACUGACGCUGAGGAGCGAAAGCGUGGGGAUCAAACAGG